AGCUCACCGCAUUGGCCAACAAAAUGAGGUCCGGGUGCUGAGGCUUUGCACCGUCAACAGUGUUGAGGAAAAGAUUCUCGCGGCUGCCAAGUACAAGCUGAAUGUGGACCAGAAGGUUAUUCAGGCGGGCAUGUUUGACCAGAAGUCAUCCAGCCAUGAGCGGAGGGCAUUUCUACAGGCCAUCCUGGAGCACGAAGAGGAGAAUGAGCCUCUUCAAUAAUUCUGUUUCUGAACCCAGGAAGAAGAUGAGGUACCAGACGACGAGACCCUGAACCAGAUGAUUGCUCGCCGGGAAGAAGAGUUUGAUCUUUUUAUGCGCAUGGACAUGGACCGGCGGAGAGAGGACGCCAGAAACCCGAAGCGCAAGCCUCGCUUGAUGGAGGAAGAUGAGCUGCCCUCCUGGAUAAUUAAGGAUGAUGCUGAAGUGGAAAGGCUCACCUGCGAAGAGGAGGAGGAGAA
rnacentral:lncRNA from 1 species